GUAGCUGGCUGAAUCUUGCAAAUAUAUUGUGAUACUAUUCCAGGAGUAUAGGUGCAUACCUCUAUAGGCUUAUUUUAGAUCCAGCACAAAGAGAUUAAGAAGGCUAAGUGAAAAUAUUGGGUCUUUUCGGCAAAAGAAUGUUGUUGAUUUGUCUUCAUCCAUAUGAGAGAAUUCAACUACAUUUUCUCCUUUGCUCUAAUUGUAUCAUCUGGUAUUCCAAAUAUCCAAUGUCAUAGAUGUUAGUACUAUAAGUGAGAAUUAGCUAAACCUUAUUCAGUUGGCCUGCAAGUUACUUAUAAGUACUGUUGAAAGCUGCAGUUUUGCUUGGAAUUCUUUUAGGUUUCAAGUUAGUCCAUAGGUGCAAUGAAACAAAGUGUUGCGCUGGCUACUCUCGAAGGAAAGGAACACGAGGAUUUUUAAUCACUCGAGCAAAUCGGUGGUGCAGUGGUUCCAUGACUUUAGAGAAGAGUUAUUAAUCUGGAAGCAAGCGGAGUUCUUCAGAGAACCGACAGGAAUUAGUGGGAAUGGAUGGGAGGAUUGGGGUGAACCCAGUGCACAUGGCCUAACACAAUUGAGCCACCAGCAGCAGCAUGACAUAGGAAACCAACCACUGGAGGGCCUGAGAGCAGCAAACAGCUUCAAUAGCCUUCACUAUGACUGGAAGAAUUCUCAAUAGAAUGACGAUCAGAAGUUACAAAAGGUUCUGCCUGAUGACACAUUUGCCCUCAAUGGGGGCUCAUCUCAGCAAUGACAACACAAAAGUUACAUCCACAUAACCUCCCCUUGGAACGGAGGACAUGGGCCUUCCAGCUGAUGAUGCCAAUUAAGAAAACGAAACAUCUGCGAUGACCAAAUGCAUCCUGUGGCAAAGACUAUGUGUGAUGCGUUCCUCCUAUAUGUUCGACUCUGGAAAUAUCUGUGAUCUUACUGGAAGACUGACUCAAUCAUCAUGGAUGGAUUAGAGCCCACACAGGUUGGGAGUGUUUGGUGGAUUUUAGACUGGGUAAAGAUCAGUGUCUCUCCCAUCUUUUUUCUUCAUUUGUUUUUCCUUUCUCCAAUCCCUGCUCCAGAAGUAGCGAACCAUGUUACUGAUUUGUGAUUUCCUUUUCUUUCUUCCACAGCCGAGGCUUUUACUGUACUCUGUAUAACCUAUCAUUUACUAGUGGAAAGCAGCAGGAACAUUCUCAGAUACGAUGCAUGCGUGUGCGCAAAUCUGCUUAAUUUGUGGAUUGUUUCUUGAGUUGGUAUCUGACAAGUGCAUUUUCUGUAAUCC